AAGGCGCGCCGCGCGAUCGCGCGGCCUUUCCGGGCUACGGGGAUGGCGGGGUUCCGGACUCGGGUCCCCGCCCGCCCCAGCGCCCGCCGCCGGCCGAACGCCGACCCCGCGUCUCCAUCGUGGGUCGCGAUGGUCGAAUGGAGUUUGCCUGCUGGGAACUAGGGGCCUGCUGGGGUCUCAGUUCUUGGCUGGCCCUGGAACACGAGGUUGCCAGGUGUGUGACGGCAGCAGGUAGGAGUGACCCGCUGGUGCAGUGAUGAGCGGGAAAGGUCCGUGGGCCCAGCUUGGUCCUCUGCGGCCGGUCAGUGGGACAGACCUGCAGGCGUGGCUCCUGUCACUCUAGGACUGGCUUCAGGACAGGUAAGUUGGGAGCGGGGUGCCUGGCUGGGGGUCUGACAGAACUUUUGGACCCUUUAAUACAAGCACAUGGUAUCAAUUGUGGGUGUGCUUUGAGGAGAGGUGAGAAUGUCCAAGUAGCUGACAGUGAAGGCCACAGUGGGCAGAACUGGUGGUGAGGCAGGACAGUGGCCUGACCUCAGCCACCGCCCCCGUUAGACAGCGUGUUGGCGGCAAAUGGCCAGGCCUGUGGCUCAGGGCGGCCUGGCCGGGCGGCUCUGGCUGCAGCAUCUGAAGGCUUGAUCGGGCCAGAAAGAAGCACUUCCAAGAUGGCAUGCCCGAGGCUCCUCACGACGGGACAGCUGGCUUCCUCCAGAGCUGCUGUGCCCCAGUCUCAGAGCCAGCGCCGGUGCCCUUGGGGGGGGCCGUAGGGUGGGCGGGGGCGGCCUGCACAGCACGUGUCUGGUUGGUUCCUCAUCCACACUUUGGAAGUGUGCUUUUCAUUUUGUUGUGAUUUUUUGGCUGCUACUAAGCAGCUACCAGGGUUUUUGCCCACUUCCUCGUGUCGUGCGCUGUGGCUUGUCGACUGGAGUGGGGUUGGGGUGACUGUAACUGCCGGAAGCAAGCCGACUUGAGCAGAGAGGGUGGCAGGUGGCGGUACAUCCGGUCGGUCCACCUUUGAGCCCGGCGGCAGCUGGGUUUCCUGUCGCAUCCUACUUGGUAGAACCUCCCUGGCUGAAUUCCACUGGAAACUGGGUGGAAUGGUCAGAAGGAGAGGGCAGCAGGGCUUGGCGUGUCUGGCAGGAGAGGCUGAAGAGGCUUGAGCAGCUGUGUCCUUGCGUUCCAGAAGCCAGGUGCUCUGCUAAGGAGGCUCGACUGGGGUCCAGCCCACCCAGCGCUGGGAGGCGUGGCGAGUGGGUCACCUCUGUUUUCUGU